GACGAACGCUGGCGGCGUGCCUAAUACAUGCAAGUCGAGCGAAUCUAUGGGAGCUUGCUCCCUGAGAUUAGCGGCGGACGGGUGAGUAACACGUGGGUAACCUGCCUGUAAGACUGGGAUAACUUCGGGAAACCGGAGCUAAUACCGGAUACUUUCUUUUCUCGCAUGAGGGAAGAUGGAAAGAUGGUUCUGCUAUCACUUACAGAUGGACCCGCGGCGCAUUAGCUAGUUGGUGAGGUAACGGCUCACCAAGGCGACGAUGCGUAGCCGACCUGAGAGGGUGAUCGGCCACACUGGGACUGAGACACGGCCCAGACUCCUACGGGAGGCAGCAGUAGGGAAUCUUCCGCAAUGGACGAAAGUCUGACGGAGCAACGCCGCGUGAGUGAAGAAGGUUUUCGGAUCGUAAAACCCUGUUGUCAGGGAAGAACAAGUGCCAUAGUAACUGAUGGCACCUUGACGGUACCUGGCCAGAAAGCCACGGCUAACUACGUGCCAGCAGCCGCAGUAAGAC
rnacentral:rRNA from 1 species